rnacentral:rRNA from 1 species
UGGGGAAUAUUGGGCAAUGGGCGCAAGCCUGACCCAGCGACGCCGCGUGAGGGAAGACAGCCUUCGGGUUGUAAACCUCUGUUGCAGGGGAAGAAGGACGUGACGGUACCCUGCGAGGAAGCUCCGGCUAACUACGUGCCAGCAGCCGCGGUAAUACGUAGGGAGCGAGCGUUGUCCGGAAUUACUGGGCGUAAAGGGCGCGUAGGCGGCGCUUCAAGUCGUCUGUCAAAAGCCGAGGCUCAACCUCGGUGCGCAGACGAAACUGGAGAGCUUGAGAAGCAGAGAGGCAAACAGAAUUCCUGGUGUAGCGGUGAAAUGCGUAGAUAUCAGGAAGAAUACCAGUGGCGAAGGCGGUUUGCUGGCUGCAUACUGACGCUGAAGCGCGAAAGCCAGGGGAGCAAACGGGAUUAGAUACCCCGAUAGUCCUGGCAGUAAACGAUGUAUGCUGGGUGUGGGACUAGCGAUAGUUCCGUGCCGAAGUUAACGCGAUAAGCAUACCGCCUGGGGAGUACGGUCGCAAGAUU